GAGGGUAUCACUCAGGGGUAGAGUGCAUGCUUAACAUGCAUGAGGUCCUGGGUUCAAUCCCUAGUACCUCCA
rnacentral:tRNA from 1 species